rnacentral:rRNA from 1 species
UCUCUCUGAAUCUGCGAACGGCUCCGCAAACCUGCUGCAUACCAAAGCGUGGACGGUGUCGGCGGCCGGCUUCGGCCGGCUGCUGGGGCCGCUCUAGAUGGUCACCCGUGGUAAUUCUGAGGCUAAUACAUGCAUACAAACCCUAAGCUGGGCGGCCUCGGCCGCCCGGUGGUGGGCGUGUGGACCGCAAAUCUGUGGCCAUCCAAACCACGACAGGACACACGCUCAAACCGCAUGCGUGGGCCGGGUUCGCCCGGCUCCCGGCGGUGCACGCGAUGUGCUCCAGACCUAUCAACUAGACGGCAGCGCACCGGACAUGCCACGGUCGCAACGGGUACAGAGGAUAAGAGUUCGAUCCUGGAGAGUGGGCCUGAGAGAUU